rnacentral:rRNA from 1 species
AUUGAACGCUGGCGGCAGGCCUAACACAUGCAAGUCGAGCGAGCGGCGGACGGGUGAGUAAUGUCUGGGACACUGCCUGAUGGAGGGGGAUAGCUACUGGAAACGGUAGCUAAUACCGCAUAACAUCAGAUGUGCCCAGAUGGGAUUAGCGAGUAGGUGGGGUAACGGCUCACCUAGGCGACGAGCCCUAGCGGGUCUGAGAGGAUGACCAGCCACACUGGAACUGAGACACGGUCCAGACUCCUACGGGAGGCAGCAGUGGGGAAUAUUGCACAAUGGGCGCAAGCCUGAUGCAGCCAUGCCGCGUGUAUGAAGAAGGCCUUCGGGUUGUAAAGUACUUUCAGCGGGGAGGCGUUACCCGCAGAAGAAGCACCGGCUAACUCCGUGCCAGCAGCCGCGGUAAUAC